UAACAGGUGGCCCAAUGGCAAGGCGCUUGACUACGAGCUGCAAAAAGCAGUGGCGGAAAUCAAGAGAGUAUGUAUCCCUCCUCAUCACGGUAUCAAAAAACGUGACUAACAGCUAUCGAUAGUUCCAGGUUCGACCCCUGGCGUGGUCA